CAUUGCCCCAGGGCCGGGCACAGGUGCAACGCGGCUUGAUCACCAGGGCUCUGGCCUCUGCUGACCGCGGGCCUGAACGCAGGACCCCACUGGUCCUCUGCUGCCACCUUGUGGCCACUUCCCAGAUGGCAGGUAGGAGCCUGAGAUCUUUCUCUGGUUCCAGUUCCGGGAAACUCUUGGGCCCCCUGGAGCCUUGCCCACCCCCGGAGUGCUUCGUGUGGCCAAAUACUGUGGGCGAUUAUCGGGGCCUGGAACCAGGCUCCCUCUGACGGCCUCGGAGCUGAUGUGGAAGCCGCCGAAUGUGUGUAUUUGUGGAGUUGUAAGUAGGUCAGAUAUUUCUGUCGCUAAUUAUUACUUGUGAAAAAAUAUGUCGUGAGCUUGCCGCAGGGAGAGAGUAUCGGAAGCAGCAUUGAUCUUUGGAAACUCCAGCCAGGUUUAUCCCUCCGGGCCUGGAAUCCUGAGGACAGUCAGACGAGGAAAAAAUGUCCCAAAUGCAGGUGCACGUGGGGCAGUUGUGGGGAACUCCAGCAAACCUGGGUUCCAGCCCCUGAAUUUCGCUUCCCUGUUCUGGACUUCAGUUUUCUCACCGGGUUGGAUUUGACUUUU
rnacentral:lncRNA from 1 species